rnacentral:rRNA from 1 species
GACGAACGCUGGCGGCGUGCCUAAUACAUGCAAGUCGAACGAACCGCGACUGAGUGCUUGCACUUGGUCAAGGUGAGUGGCGAACGGGUGAGUAACACGUGGGUAACCUACCUCAUAGUGGGGGAUAACAGUCGGAAACGACUGCUAAUACCGCAUAGGACAUGGACUCACAUGAUUCUGUGAGGAAAGGUGGCGCAAGCUAUCGCUAAGAGAUGGACCCGCGGUGCAUUAGCUAGUUGGUAGGGUAAGGGCCUACCAAGGCGAUGAUGCAUAGCCGACCUGAGAGGGUGAUCGGCCACAUUGGGACUGAGACACGGCCCAGACUCCUACGGGAGGCAGCAGUAGGGAAUCUUCCGCAAUGGGCGCAAGUCUGACGGAGCAACGCCGCGUGAGUGAAGAAGGUCUUCGGAUCGUAAAGCUCUGUUGUUAGAGAAGAACAGCGCAUAGAGUAACUGUGAUGCGUGUGACGGUAUCUAACCAGAAAGCCACGGCUAACUACGUG